CGCUGGUUGGCCCGUCAGUGGAUGAGGCGAGAGCCGCGGCUGCCUUGCCUCUUCAUCCUCCCGUUCGUCCCCUUCUCUAGGGCUGGGUCUCUCCCUCGCGUUAACGCCGCCGCCCCCUCUCCUUCUCUUCGUUGCCUCCCCUCGCGUCGCCGCCGCCCUCCGAGAAGCACCGCAGCCGCUGCUGCUCCGCGCCAUAGCUCCUCAGUCAAGCUCGCGCAUCCGCCACCAUGCAUGUCGGCACAGGUGAACACCGAAUUCCUCGAGCAUGGGCUGCAGAGAUGACGAGGACCUCGAGAAGGAGGACCAGGACGUCGAGCCGAGACGGGUUGCCACUCCCACUCCCUCCGCGGCCGAGUCAGAGCCCGAGCCGCCUAGAUCGACGCCCAAGGCAGCGGCGGGCAAGAAGCAGCAGAAGACCACCAAGGCGCCGAGGGAGAAGAAGGCAAAGGUGGAGGAGAAGCAGGUGGCAGAGGACGAGGUGUGCGUGAAGGAGCUCGGCGCUCGGAGGAGCUGGCGCUCGGGGAGGAGGACGAGAUGGCUACCUCCAGGGAGCAGCAAAAGGAGUUGGGGCACGCGGCGGCGGCGGCGGCGGCCAAGAGGCGCAUAGCGCAGGCGACCAAGAAGGCCAGGAACGUGGCCGCCGGCGACAAGGAGCCCGAGUUCCUCGGCAAGCCCCCGUCCCCGCCGAUGAGGCCCGCACCAAGUGGCCGCAGCGUUACCAGCGUGGCUCGCCCAAGAGGUUGUCGUUGUCGCCAUCGCGGAGAAGAUCCGGCUGGCACGCUGCGUCUCACAUAGGUGAUUGUGAAGGCAGAGUCAUAUAACGAACAACAUUCAAGCCUGCAUCUACUACUUCGCCAAGCAACACUAGCCUACAGCAACAAGCUGAAAUUGCGGUUCUAUAAGGCAAGGGAUUUUGCGUCUCUUCACAAAUAAGGAAUAAAGAUAAUUGUCUCUCUUUUAUGGUUUGCUACUAAAUACACAAAAAAUAGUGUUCUUUUGCAUCACCAUCCUAUGGAGCCAUGUUCUAAGAAAUAGUAUAUGGUAAACGAUCGGGUGAAUUUUGCACUUACAUUUCUGGGUGUGUUGUUUCAGGAUUUUGGAGGUUCCUGAUUAUAUUUUCUGCAUGCCUUUUGUGGUUUCAAAUAAUGAUUUCUCAAGUUGUUUUGUUUGCAGGUCUGGCAAUAUUCAUUUGCGCCUAGCUCCUAACAUGCAUGGAUCCAUCAUUUUAUUAUUUUGUCAUCUCAUGUAGUUUCACAUGAUGUUAUAGUUCAUUGUUCGGAUUGUUAAUUAGGUGGUAGCGUUGUCAAAAUAAUAAUAAUUAGAAGCUCUGAACCGUGAGAGUUCGAUGGUAUUUCCAAACUGGAAUGACAAUGCUAAGAUUAAAUUCAAGUGGAAAUCAUGUUGGUAUUUGGUGCAUGGCAAGGUGCAAAUUUCGUAACUUUAGCAAGAUGGUCUGCUUGGUUUGUGCUGAUUUGCUCACCCUGACAGUUGGUUUAAUUCUUGUUGACAUGCUCAGUUGCUCCACAUCUAUUAGAUAUUAAAUAGUCCAGUUCUUCUUUCUGUAAAGUUUGGCAAAUUAAAAACCUUUAUGGAGGUUUGCUUUAUUAGUUGUAUCAGAUGUUCUCCUGCUUAGUCUAAAUCAGAUAGGGACUUUAAGCAUAUUCAGUUUAAUUAAUGACAAGCAUUUGUACUAUUAUUGACUUUCUUUAUCUCCUUCUGCUAUGACUAAUAAUGUUUUGCUUAAUUAAACAUUAUAUAGUUCUUCUUGCUUCAUGCCAUUUUUCCAAUAUUAAUCUUCUUGCUUCGUGCAUUUUUCUAUUUCGCUAGAUGUUGGAUGCUAUUGAUGUCCUUGAGGCCCUGGUCAUCUGCAUCGAUAGAACUAAUUGUCAGGGAACAAUUCUUUCUGUAUGAGUGUGACCCUGCCUGCAGAGUAAAAGGUCAUGGUGACAACGCCGCUUGGACUGCUUCUGGACGUCCACGGUGACACCAGGCAGUUCCAAAGCCAACCUGAGCUCCUCCUUGUGGUGAUGUUAGCCGGCGAGCUUCCUCUACCUCCACUCUAUGUGGAUGUCAGCCGAUCCGUGUGUCGCAACAUGCAAGCAAAUCAAAUGAAGGAGUGUGGACAAAGUUAUAUAUCAAGCAAAUCCGUGCGUCACAACAUGCAAGCAAAUCAAUUAAUCAAAUGAGUGUGGACAAAGUUAUAUAUCAAGCAAAUUGGAUGAAGGCGUGUGGACAAAGUUAUAUAUCUAAUGGUCAACCAUGUAGUUUACUAUAGUAUUAUGCAGUAUAGAAAACAAUGUAAAUAAGUUAGGUGGGACUAAUACUAUGGCCUGCUUUUGGUUUCUAUCAUACCAAACCUUGCUUAAGUAUUUCAUGUCACAUUUAUAACAAAUGCGCGAAUGGCAUGUAGAUAGGGUCAUUUUUUAGAUAUUUUACGGGAUGAGUACUGUUGUGAGUAUCUACCAUCACCUACUCUUUGAGUAAUAUCAGAUAUAUUUCCAUCAUGAGAUAUAUUGAGUAAUAUCAUAUGUUAAUCAAAAAGAGUUAUAUCAGAG
rnacentral:rRNA from 1 species